rnacentral:lncRNA from 1 species
CAUGAAGUGCUUGUCUGUGGUUACAGUUCCUUGAGAAUAACUUGAAUUUUGAAAGAGAGAAAGUUGUCAAGACCAUCUUAUUACCUAGAUUGUAGAAUGGGCUAAUUGGUGCUUAAAUGUCUUUCAUCAGAAAGCUCUGAGGCCCAGAAGAGGUUUCACUUUGUAAAACUGGCCUGAUAUUUGAAUAUACAAAUCAGUCUUUUAAUUAUCUUCCAUUCUGGAAUGCCGUAGGCUUAGGCUAUGGAUGGACAUUUUAGUGGUGCCUAGGAAAUUCACAGACACAUACACGACAGGUAUGCAUGUGCCCUUUAUGCUUUGAUUUUGCUUUCUGUUGCCAGAAUUGCUGGAGGGAAGGACUGAGCACUGAUAUACCAUCAACAAGGGUCUCCCUUCUCUCUCAGCUCAUGUUCCUGAUAACUAUCUCACCCUACCGACCCAUGGCCUGAGGUGUCCAUUUUCCUGUUAUCUUGGUACAGUUCCUUUUCCGCAGGUGAUCAUGCAUUAGCAUAUUUGCUCUCUGCUUUUCAGACAAAUGCUGCUUUAAUUGGCACCAGGGCUAUAGAAGGAGGUCAAAGAAAUUAUCAAGUGGCUCUUAAGCAGAUGAGAAGAAAUAAAUGAUGAGCAUUAUCUCUAUUUUUUAAAAAGUAUUUAGGGUUGGAAAUAUAUGAACAGGUAUUAUCACUGGCUCUGGAAACAUUGAAGGUCAUGAUCAUUAAAGUUUAAAGGAUAUUUCUUAGUAGUCAGAUGGUUUGCAUGGGAACCCAAUUAUAUAAAUAACUCAGUAGUUCUCAGAAUUUAAAAAUCAUAUACAUGAUCAUGCCAUACCUUCCAACAAGGUGUGGAUAUACACACAUAUCUGGACAUACAUACUCCUUCAACAUCCAUACCUUCCAAUCCACCCUUAAAAUCAAUACACAUUUUUUUAACUUUUCAAACAUAAAACCAUAAAGAAAUACACUCGUCCAACCCACAUGUGUUCCUUCUGGUCCCCUUCACUCCCUUUUUCUGAUGCAUUUUGGGUGUAUCAACUCUUUUAAUGCACUUCCUUUAAAAGUUACACAUGCCUCAAUGUGUUCUAUGCCCCAUCCAUCCCUCAGUUGCUAAUGGUUCCAUCAAUCUCUGUUGGCCUUUAAAAACCAUGAAGUUCAUUCCGCUGGACUCAGAAGCUUGUUAAACACUGCAUUUUCAGCUGUCUGAAAUCCCCCCAGUAUUUUUGGUUUCUGGAAUUCAACACUUAUUGGGCACUUGUGAGAAACAUUGUCCUAGCCUUUGUGCCAACAAAUAUGAGAAAGAGCAUAGUCCUUACCCUCUCAGAGUUUAUAAGUUUGUCUUUUCACCAAGCAACUUUUGAAAUAUUCCCUGCUGCUGUUGACAGGAUCUGUUGAAUUUGGGGCAAAAAUAAACAAACUUUUGAUAUCCUCCAAAAACCCUGCCUCUCUGUUUGCAGAAAGAGAAUUCUUAUGUGCUUAUGUGCUCUACUGUUCAGAAAAUACAAGCUGCUCAACAGUGCUGGUUUUCUAUGCUCUCCCUCCUCCGGGCCAUAGUAGUCCAGGAGGAGUUAGAAAGAGUCCAGAAAUGAAUUCAGCAGUUCCCUUUUGUUUAGGGUGGACGCUUUCUCUCUCUCUUUUUUCUUUCAGCCUUCUCAGCCUCAGUGGGAAGACAGAAGAAAAAGCAGAUAAUCGAAGCAGGGAAAUCCAGGAUAAUGAGUGUUCUUGAAUAUAUAAGGGAAAUGUUGCAAGAUUAAUUUAUAUCUUUUUCAAACCAUUUCUGAAUUAGGCAACUACCAUAAUGAUGUAUAGGACUUAUGCCUAUAAGUCCUUAUGGUUCUUAGCUUCCAGUUGUUGCCUGGGUUAUAUUACAUUACAUUGCAUUAUUAGUUUUGGGUUAUAAAGAAAUAGACUCAAAAACACACUGAACAAAGUAAAAUUCAUAUGUAAUUCCACUUUCUGGAGAUAGCCAACUUAGCUCUUUUAUGAAAAAAAUUUUAGUCAUUUUAAAAUGUAUGUUAAUGUAAAUACUUGUGUCUCAACAGAUUUGGAUCACAGUGUAUAUUCAAUUUUUCCCAAUUUUUUUUUACUCAACUUUGUAUACAGAAAC